AUCAAGAAGAACGAAAUUCGGGAGUAGAUCGGGGAAAAGAAAAAGUAAAGGACUAAAUUGUAAAGUUUAGUCACAUUUUGUAUCGAGUACUUAUCUAGCCACUCAGGGAUCGAAGGAAACGUCGGAGGCCGAUCACACUAUCAAAGAAAUAACUCGGUAUAAUUAGAUGUUUUGUUUUGUGUAUGGCAUGUAUAGAAACUUAGCUACUUUUGGUAUAAUAUGAACAAUGAAUGAUGUGUAAAUACUUGCUAGUGAUUAGCUAAUAAAAAUGGCCGAUGAUAUGCAUGUUUAUUAA